CGAAAGCCUGACGGAGCAAUACCGCGUGAGGGAGGAAGGCCCUUGGGUUGUAAACCUCUUUUCUCAGGGAAGAAAAAAAAUGACGGUACCUGAGGAAUAAGCAUCGGCUAACUCCGUGCCAGCAGCCGCGGUAAUACGGAGGAUGCAAGCGUUAUCCGGAAUGAUUGGGCGUAAAGCGUCCGCAGGUGGCUGUGUAAGUCUGCUGUUAAAGAAUGAGGCUCAACCUCAUCAAAGCAGUGGAAACUACAUAGCUAGAGUGCGUUCGGGGUAGAGGGAAUUCCUGGUGUAGCGGUGAAAUGCGUAGAUAUCAGGAAGAACACCGGUGGCGAAAGCGCUCUACUAGGCCGCAACUGACACUGAGGGACGAAAGCUAGGGGAGCG
rnacentral:rRNA from 1 species